GUGGUCUUAUUUCAAAUUAUGUAGUAUGGUCCAAUCAUAGCCAACACUAAGAGGUCAAAACGCUGCACUGGGCGUUCAAAAACUGAGUAAAAAACCACCGUAACACCAAGGUUUUGGAAGGAAUAUCUUUUUUUGAUUUCCUAGUAGCCCCUUGUCGCUGUGCACAAUGGAUAUAUAUUGUCGCGAAAGAAAGAGGAGAAGAAAUAUAGAACCCUUAUAAAAAUUCUAGAAUUGUUCAGUGGUGGUGGCAAAUCAAUGCAAAAAAGUAUUAUAAAAACUUUAUAUGUGUGUGUAAAUAUUUUAAACGUAUAUGCUGAAAAGGAUUUGUUUUCUGGGGGAAACGAACACAGCCAUAAAAUAAGCCUAAAUUAAACUGAUUAUAGAAAAAUUCAUUGAUAUAAGAUUACAUUAUAUUUGUAAAAAAGAAACCGCUCAUAUAAAAAUGACUUCUAAAAGACAGCUUUAUAACAAACUGAAUCUGUUUAAAGGUAAUUAAACCUACAU